rnacentral:rRNA from 1 species
UUCGCCGCUUGCGACGUCAUGAGAAGUCCACUGAACCUUAUCAUUUAGAGGAAGGAGAAGUCGUAACAAGGUUUCCGUAGGUGAACCUGCGGAAGGAUCAUUGUCGAAAAYCUCAUCAACGAGGAGGACCGCGAACGCGUCAACGAAUGUCGUCGGGCUGGGCCCCCUGCUCGGCCCGAUGCAGUCCCUGCCCUCGCGGCGCGGACGAUCGAUCAAAACCUCCGGCGCGAUGGGCGCCAAGGAACAUGAAACUUGCGGGCGGUACUGGACCUCGUCCUGGCCGUGCCGUAGUUUUGCUCGGAAUCGAAUGACUCUCGGCAACGGAUAUCUCGGCCCUCGCAUCGAUGAAGAACGUAGCAAAAUGCGAUACGUGGUGUGAAUUGCAGAAUCCCGCGAACCAUUGAGUCUUUGAACGCAAGUUGCGCCCGAGGCUUUCCCGCCGAGGGCACGCCUGCCUGGGCGUCACGCUAUAUCGUCGCUCCGCGCUCCCUCGCCCCCACGCGCGGGCGGCGGGGGUCGGACGCAUACAUUGGCCCCCCGCGCCCCCGGGCGCGGUCGGCCGAAGAGAGGGCCGUCGUCGGUGGUGGGACACGACGGGUGGUGGCGCCACGAGCGAGCCGAACGUCGUGCCUCCGCCGUGGAGACGAGCUUCGCAGGACCCCCCACCCCACCAUAAUCGUUUGCCUCGGAUUGCGACCUCAGGUCAGGCGGGGCCACCCGCUGAGUUUAAGCAUAUAAAUAAGCGGAGGAGAAGAAACUUACGAGGAUUCCUAUAGUAACGGCGAGCGAAUCGGGAUCAGCCCAGCUUGAGAAUCGGGCGGCCGCACCGUUCGAA